rnacentral:rRNA from 13 species
GGGUAGGAGAGCGUCGUGUGGCGAGUGAAGCGGCGGUGUGAACCAGCCGUGGACGCCACACGAGUGAGAAUGCAGGCAUGAGUAGCGAAAGACGGGUGAGAAACCCGUCCGCCGGAUGACUAAGGGUUCCAGGGUCAAGCUAAUCUGCCCUGGGUAAGUCGGGACCUAAGGCGAGGCCGACAGGCGUAGUCGAUGGUCAACGGGUUGAUAUUCCCGUACCCGCGAAGAA